rnacentral:lncRNA from 1 species
GACAUGUAGCCUAGUGGUUACAGUGACCUGAGUAACAUCCAAGUUCCUGGGUUCAAAUCUCUAUAGGAGCAUAAAUUUCAGAUUAGGUAUUUGAGGGGCUAGAUCUUCUAUUCCGAGAGUAUGAAUUUCAGAUUGGGUAUUUGAGAAUAAAAAUACCCUUCUCUAAAAAAAUGAGACUCUGAAAUAAAAAAAAUGGCUACAUAUAUCCGAGAGCAUGAAUUUCAGAUUGAAUAUUUGAGGAUAAAAGUACCCUUCUCUAAAAAAAAAUUUUUAGAUUGGGUAUUUGAGAAUAAAAAUACUCUUCUCUAAAAAAAUGAGACUAAGAUUGUCAUAAUCAACAAGCGUUGGUUGAUUUGAUGUUUGAAGGAUCGAAGAACGUAAAAAUACCUUUCUCUAAAAAGAAAUUUUAGAUUGGGAAUUUGAGAAUAAAAAUACCCUUCUCUGAAAAGAAAUUUCAGACUAAGAUUGUCAUAAUCAACAAGCGUUGGUUGAUUUGAUGUUUGAAGGAUCGAAGAACGCCAAGGUGCUGGCGGCGCUGCGCGACGCGAAGAUCAGGUACGCGUAUGAGUCGUUCCCGUGGGAGAAGAAGAUGAAGGAGCUGCUGCCGGUGCCGGCGGCGAGCUGCUUCCUGUCGCUGCUGCUGCUGCCCAAGUCGGCCGACGGCUCGCACACCCGCUACAACUCGCUGGAGGACACCCUCGCGGGGGGGGGGGGGGGGGGGCGGGGCCGCCGGCGUGCCGGUCGCCUUCAUGAACGUCCAGACGGAGGCGCUGCUCACCAAGAUCUCCGGCGAGAUGGCGCUGUCGACGGUGAACAUGGGGUCGCUGUCCGACCUGGCCAACAUGGCGAACGCGAGCCUGUACGGGUUCGAGGACUACCACGGCGUGGACAUCGGCGUGGUCCGCGCGGUGCGGCUGUGGUACACGCCGGCGGCCGGCGAGGCGGCGCUGGAGAUCAAGCUGCUGCCGGGGGACACGCGGCUGGGGUUCGCCAUCAGCCGCACCGAGGAAGGGUUCAUCUACGUGUCGUCGGUGGCGGAGGAGAGCACGCCGGGGGUGGCGUCGACGCGCUCCGGCCUCCUCGAGCUGCACCGCGCCGCGCGCAGGGCGUCGCGGCUGCUGGUGGUGUCCCGCGUCGGCGGCGAGAAGGUGCUCCCGUGGAUGGUGUCCACCGCCGGCGACGUCAAGUGCUUCGACACGGUGUCGCUCAGCCAGAAGCUGUCGCUGCACCGCCACGCGCUCCGCCCCAUCACGCUCCACUUCCUCAUGUGGGACAGCGCCCUCGCCGUCAAGGACGUCGCCAAGCCGCCGCCGCCGCCCAUGCUCAUGCUGCCCUCGCCGCCGUCGCCGACGCCGUCCGAGGCGGAAGGAGACGUGCCCGCGUACGGUGGCGACGGCGAGGAGGCCGCCGGCGGCGGCAAGGGUGGCAAGGACUCGUCCUUCAGGUUCCAGAACAUCGACCUCCUCCCGGACAGCUGGUUGUGAAAUUUAAUUUUAACAAGAAAAAAAAGGUGUGUUUUGCGCUUUGUGUAAUAGAGCACUACUGUGCUCUCGUAUCUUAAUAGAUGACAUCAUUGACUUUUGACAUAUGUUAAAAUAUUCGUUUUAUUAAAAAAAUUAUACAAAGUAUAAGUUAUAACUAAAACAUGUUUAGCAAUAAAUCCAAGCACAACAAAAUAAAUAAUAUUUAGGUAAGCUUUUUAAUAGGCAAAAUUUGCUACAGGGCAUUCAAAAAAUACGUAAUUAGUUGGUAAACACCGUAAGGUCAUAAAUUUGCUGCAGGGCUUCACAAAACUGUGGUAAUUAGCUGGUAGACACUUCUGCCAUUAUUUUAUUUAUUUUGGAGUCAAAAAUUUUAAAAAUGAUGAGAUUGCCCUUUGUAGCCGGGUCAUCGCUGCCCUCGCUGCAGCUAGGUCACCGUCGCUAUCAUCGGCUUAGUCACCCUGUAGGCUAAGGUUCGGGUGUGGUGCGACGCCUAGACCAACUAGGUCUGGUUCGACCGGACCCAGUUGGCAUAACUGGUUGGUCACCGAGGGCAAUCUUGUCAUUUUUAAAAUUUUUUACUCCGAAAUUAAUAAAAUAAUGUUCAGAGUGUCUACCAGCUAAUUACCACAUUUUUGUGGUGCCCUGCAGCAAAUUCGCGAUCUUAAAGUGUCCACCGGCCAAUUACGUGUUUUUUCGAUGCCUUGUAGCAAAUUUUGCCUUUUCAAUAAGAUGAACGAACAAACACGUGCUAAAAAAAUCAGUGAUGUUAUAUAGGUAUUAAAAUAUAUUUGAUACUCCAUGCAUUUCAUAUUAUAAUAUGUGUUCGCCCACCAAAGAUUUACCAAUGGAUCAAUAAAUAUAUUUUAUAUGUGUUUAAAUUUAUCAGCAUCCAUAUGAAUCUACGUAGGAUCAUGACAUUUUAUAUUAUGCAACAAGAAAAACUCUUUUAAACCCUCAAGAGAAUAUGCCCUUGUUUCUUACGUAUCAUCUAAAUGGUUAUAAAAACAAAAAUAUUUGACAACAUAGAUUAAUGUGUAAUAAAUCACUACACAAAUACGUACCCCUCUAUAUUUUAAUAAAUAAUGUCGUUGAUAUUAAACUCGUAUAAGGUUUUUAAAGUUACCCCUUGACAGCUAGGAAACAUUUCCUAUUUUUAUUUUUCCAAAAAAACCCUCAGGGUGGUCGGUAAACACCUAAACUAAACAAUAUUUUAGCCUAACUUUAGAUAUCCAAUUGCACUAGUAUGGUAUAACAAGUGAGCCAAGCCCAUUUUCGUAAGCCAUUUUAGCUCAAAUUUAGAUAUCCAAUUUCAUUAGUGUCAUAUAACAAGUGGGCCAAGCCAAUUAAAAGCCCACAGGACCAAAUAUUAUACCCAUUUACAACACAUACAUCACACGUUAUAUAAGCCCAAUUAAUAUUCAAUAUAGCAGCCCAUUUAAAAUUUAAUAUAGUAAAAGCCCACUUACAUUCAAGCGUAGGAGCCCGGUUACAUUCAGGCACACAUAAAUCACAUAUAUACGUUCAAUUACAUACAACAGUUUCACAAUUUCACAUACAUUAGUUCAUCAAAACAAAAGAUUCGGUAUAUCACCAAAUUUAGCCACAAGAGCAAACUAGGUUAGUUAUAGCAGUCCAACCAUACCCCAGAUAGAAAAAUAAGGUCCUACAUGACCAAAUCUACACUAAGUCCAUCCAUAAGUAAACUGACCAAAAUAAAAUCACAUGUCCAAACAGUUCAAACUUCACUAAAGUUAGAUGUAGGACCAAGCACACAGUGGGUCUAGCCAUAACUAACUAACCAAAACAAUAUCGCAAGUCCACAUAUUUGAAAAUUCACUGAAGUCAAAUGUUUAAAUCAUAGCAACCAAAAGGCUGCACAACAACCUAAAUGUAGUCCUUAUAGGCAUAUGUGGGGCAACAAAAUUGAGUAAUUAAGCCUUAGUUUAGAUCCUAAAUUUCAAUUUAAAUAUACAUAUGGAUCAUACAUCCUACAUUUGAUUAAUGGUAAGAGUCAAAAAUGUAUUUAAUAGUUCAAUAGUAUUUCACAAAUAGUUAAGUUGUUUGGGAGAGGCUCACAUGCAACGUGUCUAGGGGUGGAUAACGACCCAGCUCAGCUUGGCUCGGCCUAGCUCGUUAAGAUAACGAGCUGGCUCGACUAGGCUCGUUAUCGUAACGAGCUAAAAACCCAGCUGGCUCAGUUCAUUACAAAGCUCCAGUUGGCUCGUUAGGCUCAUGAGCCAUGCAUGAAAAGUGAAUUUAAACAAUUUUUCAAUAGAUUAUACAAGCAAAUUUUUAGUUUAAACAUGAAAAUCAUAUGAAAUUGUAUCUAAAUAUUAAACUUUAAUCCAACAUAUCACAUGGUGAACCUAUGAACUACUGAACACAUGCAUUUCGAGGAGGAAUCAAUGAUGUUGGCGAAUCGCAUGUCUUUGGUCUAGCUCGUUAGGCUCGUGAGCAGCUCACGAGCUAGCUCGAGUUGGCUCGUUAUCUCUAACGAGUUAAAAUGCUAGCUUGGCUCGUUAGAAAAAUAAAACGAGUCGAGUCGAGUGAGCUAACGAGCCACGAGCUUUCUGUCCACUCCUAAACGUGUCCCUCCCUUGAGAACCCCCAAAGCCAACCAAUGAUUUCUAAUGGGCCCAUAAUACAAUUAAUGGCCCAUCAUAAUCUAAUAUCCUACAACAUAAAUGUGUUGAUUUUAAUAGAUGUAAGGAAAAAUAUCCUACAACAUAAAUCAUGAAAUGCUAAAGAAGAGACACAUGCGUAUUGCAUGGUAGGAAACUAGCAACCAUUGGCAUUCUUAUGAACACGUCAGCUUCUCUGUAGCUUAGUAUUAAAUCUUUCAUUCUCUCCUCUUUUAUCAACCACUCCUCUAGCAACUUUCUGUUGAUCUCAAGAAAUUUCUAGACCCACGUGUCAUCUUUGAACCAAGGUUCACAUUACUUGUUUAAUUAGAAAUGUCACAUGUCACCACAAUGUGCUAGAUUGGUUUUGAGCAAUUUACAAAAAAAAAACAGAACCAAAUUUGGAGCAUCGAGAACAUAAAACCAUAUGUUUAGGACUAUCGACUAGUUUCUCAUCCUACACAAAAGCAGGCAUCAACCAUAGUAGAAACCAUUUGUUCACCUCAUUUUAUAACCAAUUAACAUGUUUGUUGUUUUAGCACAAAGUGAACAAUGUCCUGUAGCAAAAGGUGAAUAUUCGCUAGAUAGAUGCCCUACUCUAAAAAUUGAAAAAUUGUAAGGAUGCCAUUAUAAUUUUGCAAAAUUGGAGAUAUGCCAUUCGGAACCAUAUGUCAUUGACUCCUGCGGGCCCCAUAUUUUAUUGAGUUACCAAUGACAUAUCUCUAACUUUUCAAAAUUAUAAUGACACGUUUGCAAAUUUCUCUAAAAUAGUACCAAACAAAAGAUGCAUCAUAAGUGCAUCCUUCGCUUUUAGACCUACUUGCUACACACAUAAUAAGUCACAUAGCUCCUAUAGUGGAUUAUGAAUUUGCUGUAAAGGGAGCAUAUAUAUUGGAUCAUGUUGAUCUCUAGAGAAUUAGUUUAUAUAUUGUACUUCCCGAGGUCAAAAGAUAAAACAAAAUCAUACAUGAAGUUUUUUUUCUUGAAAAUCACUUUCAUAAUCAUAUAACAAAAUUUCCUUGUUGGCAAGGCUAAGGGUAAGAAGAGUAGCCAAAAAUCUAUUGUCUAUAUAAUUUUUGUACAUCAUAUCUAGAUGAUGUAUAGACAACUCAUACAAUUAGUUGUAUGCAACAUAAUUAAUGAUUUGCUCUUGAUGUCCUAAAAUAUAAGAGCUUUUAGAGUUAAGCAUGCGUAUUAAGGAGUAUGGCAAAAUAAAAAUAGGCAUGGCUAUUGUCAUAACAUUAUUAUUCUAUUUUUCCUUUUUCUCACCCUCUACCCCAAAAUUAAUUGUAGGGGCAUCUACUCCUAGACAUUGAUAUCACACCAUUAUUUAUGUUGUACACAUAUAUAAUUCCUUCACCCAAAAAAAGUUCAAUUUUGUACACAAAUAUGAACACAAUGCCCAUUUAGAUUCAUGUGUAGAAGUGAGGUCUUUUUGAAAUAGAUGUAGUAGCUCUGUAUCAAUGACUGUUGUGUAUAUAUCCGUAUUUAGUGUUCAAAAGAAUAUAUGGGAGGAAAAUCCAAGAAAGCUUGGGGCUCCACCACCAAGCACACUACAAUUAUACCACAUAUUAAGCAAGUAAAAGUAGAAUAAUUUUCCAUGAACAUAAUAUCAUUCAUGGUACAAUAUAUAUGGUAGUUAGAUAGACUAGCAUCACUUAGUUAAUUAUGCACAAGAUAAAAAAUAAUUGUAUGUAACUUGGAUAUCCGGGAAGAACUACAACCAAAGGAACUCCUGAAAGGGAGGAUUGAGAUCCUCCUAGCUUGCCACACUUGUAUCUUGAAAGAGAAGAAAGAUUUCUGCAAAUGCUUACAUUGGGUAAGAGUGCCCACGGUUCCUUAUCAAAUAUCAGGAAGCACGUAUCUAUGAAAGAUUUUGGUACAUCUGGUUAUAACUCGCAUGGCUGUCAUAUCAUGCUCAUAGUGUUCUCCCUAUUGCUAUAAGGGCAUGAAGCCAACCCAGUUUAAGGUUGUCAUCACAAAGUUGUGUUACUUAUUUAAUCGGAUUUCACAGAAAGUACUUGAUCCUGAAAAGUUGGAACCACCCCAGAAAUUAUCGAGGAAACUAUUUUCUAGCUUGAGAUGUAUUUUCCACCAACUUAUUUUGAAAUUAUGGUGGACCUAAUGGUUCACAUUGUCCCUCGGAUGAUUGAACUAGGUAUUCUUUACUUACAUCAAAUAUGGGCAUAUGAGUAGUACAUAUCAAUCUUUAAAGCCUAUAUACCAAACCUUGCCUAUCCCGCAGGAUCUAUGAUAGAGGGUUAUACCACUGAAGAAGUCGUUAAGUGUUGCGUAGAUUACUUUCAGGAUUCCAAGAUGAUUGGAUUACCAAUCCCAAAAUACGAGUGAAGAUUGGGUGAGAAGGGUAUGGUGGAGGAGAAAAAUAUUCUACCAUGACAAUUGUAGUGAACUUGAACAAACAUAUGUGAGUUUACUACAAUAGCUGGCUAUUGUGGAGCCCAUGAUUGAACAACACAUUGAAGAAAUUUGACGGAACAAUAUCAUAUUGGUAGCACAAUAGAUUGGAUCACGAAAAACAGAAACGUUGUUUCCAUGAAUGGUUGAAGAACCAACACAUUCCCAAUGGUGGUUCAAUUGACCCUACAAAGACUAGCCACUUAUGAAAGAGUAAAUCAAGACCUAAAGUAAAUGCGGAAGCUGUAACUUUUGGAAGUUCCGGUCAACCUAAAGUAAAUGCAAAGAUCUAGCUAUACAAACCACCAACCAAGUUUCCAAGCAACAAGAAAAGCACAAUCAGUGACUAGAGUACACGCGGCACCACAAGGCAAUGCUUAGAAAACAACUUAGAGGGAUUUCACCAAGAGAUAGCACAAAGACCUUUUAUCAAAGUUUGAAUUCUUGAGGGGAUCGUACUCUCCAUUGAGGAGCUCAACUUGAGUCGGGUUUCACAUCCGUUUCCUUGGGGUUGCACUAAUGUACUCCCCCUCACUCGAGGUGUCUCUUUUCUUUUGGAGGCGAGACCCAACCUCAGAAACUUUUCUUCGACUCAUCACAAGAACUUUUGUGGCUCAAAGAACGACGCUAAGCCGUCUAGGUGUCCUCAACCACCAAGAGUAAUAAGCUUACAAGAAGUUUUUGGGGAUUAAUCUAGUGCUUAAGAAAUUUCUUUACGAAGUCAACACCAAGAACUUAAACAAACUCAAAUCCACCAACUCACACACACAAAACCCAAAUGCUUAGAGCAUCCCCAACAGCUCAUCCAUCUCAUUCUCCAUUUUAGAAAUAGAGGAUGAAGAGUAAAAGUUGAGCUCCAGCAGAACAUCUAUCUCAUCAUCUAUUUUUGGAUGUCAUCCAUAUUAGGAGAGAGAACCUCUAUAUUUAGAGUAUAGAGGGAUAUGAAGGAUAAAAGUGUUUUAGAUGAUCAUCCAAAUGAAGAUAUGGAUGACUAAAUUUUGAUGAGCUGUUAGGGAUGCUCUUAAAUCCAUGGAAAGUAGGUGAUGAAGACCCGCGACGGUUUCUUUUCGGUGCCCGAUCUUUCGAUGAGAGGAUAACUCGAUUGAAGUGGAGAUGACGUUCACAGCUCGUUGUUCGUUUAGAAAUUUCCUGAAAAGCUAAUUAUAGGCUACAGCUGUCCAAGAACGUUGCACCUUAGCAACCGAUACACCACAUCCAGUGGUCGUUGCGAUCUUGUGGUGUGCGACACCGACCACGAGGGCACUUGUCCUACGAGCAAUCGAAGAACUAGCAAGAACAAGUAAACAUGCAACUGAAUUGCGAGAUAAAUAUGAAGCACAACGAUGAAUAUUAUCAGGGUGGGGUUCUGUGAAUAAGUAUCCGAGUGGUUGCACCAACACACACGUAUACAAGGAAGUAGCAAAAGCUAACUUGUAGAAACAAAACCCGCCGUUCUAGGUGGAGGCUAGGGGUAAAAAUAGGGGAAAAGCACGACCAUAGGGUCGUGACCUAACCCUAGGAUGCGCCCCUAAUGAGCCCAACUUGAUACACAACCCAUUGGGCCAAAAGAGGUGACACAACACCCAUGAACAUAAAACAAUCCGAAGUAAAAUAGCAAUAGCGAUCGUUCCAGAAUAGAUAACGAGAUCUGGUUGGAUCCAUUUGAAAGUAGACUUGAUAAGCUUUCCAUGAAGUACUUGUACGCCCAAAUCGGAGUUCGCAUGAAGUUGUGGCAGCUGUUAGAAGUUGCCGCUGUCCUGCAGUCUAAAUCCACCCCGCGCAAAUCCUCGUCUCUUUGGAUCCUCUCCAUCGUUCCUGAGCAUAACAAUAGUGCACACGUCUCCAGGGUAUAAAGAAGAGGAACAUGAAGUCAAGAAAGAGGUUACCUGAUAGUUGAGUUGAUGUGCAUGAGCACGGGUAAUGGGACCAGGAAGUUGUACUGGUGGACUUGUGGAUGUAUCGAUGACGUUGAUGUCCUCAUCUGUAGGAAGUGAGGAAGCAAGGCUCAAAGUGAAUCUCAAGAAAAGCAUGUCAAUGGCUAAAAGAUGAGCAAAUGAACUAGCAACCUUAGAGCAACUCCAUCAGCUCCCCAAAUUUUGUUUCCCAAAUCCUGGGUUUUAGCAAGUUUGUAAAAAAUAUGGCAAAGCGAUUUUUGUUUUAUCUCCAAGAGUUUGGGGUAUUGAACUUGCCAAAAACAGAAUUAGUCUUUAAAAUCGUUGGUAAUUAAAGGGAGAUCGCAUCAGAUUGCCAUCGCUGUCAUCGCAUCGCACCCAUGGCCAACGAAAAGAAAACAGUGGUAGCAAGUCGUACGCAUAUUUUAUCCGGAGUCUACAAGUUGCUACUGAGAUUAAACAUGUUUUUGAUUUUGAUCAGAAGACCAAGGAAAACGAGAACGAUCUGACUCGUUUGAUGUGUAAUGGAAGGGGCGUCACAGCGUCCCGGGAAUGGGGCUCAGGUACUGGGGGGCGCCUCCGGGCGACAGGACCGCGACACCUAAAACAAAAAUUUCGCACCUGAAUUUUCCAAGCGGAGGCGCGAGAGAAACCCAGCGUUGUACUUCCUGGAUGCCAAGUGAAAUCCGGACUCCUAUAUAUGCGCGCAAACGAGAGGAUAUGACAAAUUGCUAAAAUUUAGGAACCCGGAUGGCAAACUGUUGGAGACAGUUUUUUUACAAUUUGCCAAAAAAGCAGAGAUGACAAGUUAAUAUGGGGAGCUGUUGGAGUUGCUCUUAGCUUGUGCGGGUUUGAGGGGUAUUUAUACCCCUCACACAAUUUCUACCCGCUAGGGGCAAAAGAUGCUCUGUUUGGAACUUUUGAAGAACUCUUUGGAUCUUCUGGUUAGUUCAAAACAAUAACACCCAAACACUUAAAAUUUCAAAAUCAACCGUGAAAAAACAUUUUUUUAGAAGUUCCGGUCAACUCCUUUGGAGCUUCCAGAAAUCUUACGGUACUAAAAUUGCCUCUCCUCGGAACUUCUGAAGGCUACAUUCAAAACUUCCGAAGAUCCAACAUAACUGAAAUUGCUCUCUUUGAAACUUCCGAAGCUACCAUCGAAACUUUCGAGAACCAACAGAAUUGAAAUUGCUCUCUUCAGAACUUUCGAAUCUACCUUUGAAACUUUCGAAAAUCCCAACACAACUUCAAAAGAUAGCAAGAGGGACAUUUCAAAAAAUAUUUCCGAGCACCGGAUUCAUUUCUAAAAUUCAAUGCAUAACCCCUCUUUAUAGUACGACAUUCCUAAUGGACUCGCAAUAGAAAUAAAUACGCACACUAACACGAUUAUACCAUUUUUCUUCUCUUUUCAGCUUGGGCAAUGCAAUGACUUUACUUACGCAUGGACUAACCAUUCCUUCACAUUUUCACAUAAACAUUAAUUAGUCCUUGCCAUUUGAUUGUCAUUAAUCACCAAAACAAAAUUAGGGGCCUAGAUGCACUUUCAACUUACCCAUCAAGUCUAAUCAUAUCAUGCAAGGAUCCGACAUCAAAGGGUUUACUUUCUACAUGAACGCUAUGGACAAGAAGAGUAUGGCACAAAAUAUUGAUGUGCGGGUCGAAGCAAUAGAUGCAUCUGGUGUGAAGACCAAAUACUACAAGUUCAUACAUGAAAAAUGGAUUCUUAACCUUGGCCUAAAUAUUUAGAUCUCAGUCUUUUGAUGCUAGUGGGUAAGCCAUCCAAAAUGGGUUGUCUUGGACAAUUUUGGUUCGAUUGUCGUCGACCAGAGGAACGUAGGACAUAAAGAUGAUCCAUGGGUGUUCGCAGAGCAUGUUGCACAUGUCUUUUUUUUUAUGUGUCCAACCCUACGGACAAUAACAAGGACAUCAUCAUAUCUACGAAGCAACACAUAAUUGGUUCCGACAACAUUGAAGAUGCUGAGGAAUGAAACCAAUAUGAAGUAGUGAACCUAUUCACAAAUUUCCCGAGUAGGAUUAAGCGCGUGGAGCAAACAAUGAAUGAAAAUUCUUGCCUUUUUAUAUGUGCAGUGAUGGCCCGAGAACAUUAGUUAAACGAUAGUGUUGUUAUCAAUUCCAUGAAGUCCUUCCAUGGAGCAAACAAAGAAUAAGCCUUAAUCGCAGGCGGCCUGCCUAAAGAACCACUUGUGAUGUGUGUAAUCGCAAACAACUAAUAGUGUCCUAACAAAUUUAGCUAGUCCUUGAAUGUACUAUGGCGAGCUACGCUUUGAGUUGUAUGUCCACGACCACCGACGAUCCUUCUAAUAUUAAUUAAAAAAAUAUCCACCGACUAUAGUCUAUUAAAAGAAGUUAACCUAGAUAAGACUGUGAUUUGUGCAUCUGCUGACUAUAGACUAUUAAAAAAAUAGUUGGCCUAGAAAUUAAAGAUCGUAGUUUGUUCAUCCAUCAACUAUAGUCCAUUAAAAAAUAGUUGGCUCACAAAAGGUUGUGAAAAUCGUUAGCAUAGAAAAGAUCGUAAUUUGUACACCCACGACUAUACUCUACCAAAAAAUAGUUGGCCUACAAAGGAUCGGUUGUGAAGAAAUAGACAAAAUUAUUAGCUCGAUCUACUGUAAAUUUGGUUAUUCUUAUAACUGGAAAAUCAAAAUAAUAUAUAUAGGCUCUUUAACCAAAAGAUAAUUACUUCAUGCAUGCACACCAAAUAUGUAGAUCAGAUAAGUGGUACUUAGUUGAUUAUGCACGAAAUAAAAAGUAAUCGUACGGUGUUAACACACUAAGUAUGAAGAAACAAGAUGAAUAUAUAGCAACUAAGUGUUUAAAGAAGCUACGACGAGCACAAAUAUAUAAGCAUGCAUGCAAGCAUGGGAUUAUAUACAAUGAGGUAGAGGUACAGAUGCAUGCAGUGGUGGAUGGAUCUCCAAGAAACGAAUUAAUGAAGCAGUAGAUGGAAUGAAUAUAUGUGGAGCGUGCAGGCAGGCAGGUGAAAUUAAUUAACUAACAUGAGAUAGAUAGAAUCAGGUAGGAGGGGGAGGGGGAGGGGGAGGGGGAAUGGANNNNNNNNNNNNNNNNNNNNNNNNNNNNNNNNNNNNNNNNNNNNNNNNNNNNNNNNNNNNNNNNNNNNNNNNNNNNNNNNNNNNNNNNNNNNNNNNNNNNNNNNNNNNNNNNNNNNNNNNNNNNNNNNNNNNNNNNNNNNNNNNNNNNNNNNNNNNNNNNNNNNNNNNNNNNNNNNNNNNNNNNNNNNNNNNNNNNNNNNNNNNNNNNNNNNNNNNNNNNNNNNNGAGGGCCUUGCCGCACUUGCGGCAGAGGAAGGGCUUGGCGCAGUGCUUGCGCUUGUAGUGCGUCUGCAGCGUGCGGAAGUCCUUGAGGGGGCGCGCCCGCGGGUGGUCCACGUUGUUCCGGCACCCCGCCGCGCAGCAGAAGCACGCCAGCCGCAGCAUCCCCGCCGGCUGCGUCCCCCGCAGCGACUCCGGCCCCCUCCUGUACUGCGACCCAUGCCCCCACAUGUGCAUCUGCCAUUCCAUUCCACAUUAUUUAUAUACAUAUACUUCCUUCAAUUCAUUUUCUUUCAAACAAAAACCUACCUAUAGCAAAUACUACAUAUUCUAAGACUUUGUAAAUUCAGCAAUUGAUAAACAUUCUACAUUCAUUAGCAUCCAUAUGAAUAUAGGCAUGGCUAGAAAAUCUUACAUUAUGAAACUGAUCAAAGCGCUAGCUACCUAGAGAUAUAUAUCUGCAUGAUUGUAUAUAUUCAUGAUUCUUUAAAUUUCCUUUAGCUGACAAUAAAUUAAUCAAUUACAGAUAUAAUAUAUCUAUACGUUCAAGAAAAAAAUUAUAGGGAGGGGCAAAUCGUGAUGAUGAUCUUAUGGGUGACGCAGGUCGGUCCGUACGCUCUCACUCGAUCAGCUCUUCAAAACUUGUAUCAGAGAGACAGAAAAGUUAUGAAUUGGUCGAGAUCCAGGAUUAUUAAUUAAUUAAUUAAUUAAUUAAUUAGUUCUCACCGCAACCAAACAAAAAAAAAGUUCUUCUUAAUUUUUGGUGCAGGCGGAGCUAGCCGCAUCAUCAAACCCGUACAACUAAUAGUGUUCCACGAUAAUCAAUCACUUUUUGUGCAGUUUUAAGGUGUGCUCAACUUAUCUCCAAAAUGGUAAGACCUUAAAUUAAUCCUAGCCAUCCAUUGUCUAGGGGCAGUUUAGCAACAAAGUUAUAUUCAUGUUUGGCAUGUUUUGCAUAGUUACGUGAGAGCUUAAAAAAGCAACUCGAUAAAUGGCUGCAUUGAUGUUGCAUAUUAGAAUUGAUAGAUUGCAUGCAAUGGUAAGAAAACAGUUAUAGGACUAAUUAUCAUACUAUAAAAUUAACGUUUUAAACAUGCACACUUUGAUGUAAUAAAAAAAAACAAAGUACAGAUAUUUGCUUACUAGAAUUGAAUGUCGAUACCAUGAUUAGAGUCUAAACUGGAUUUUAAAUUUAUACUAGGUUUACUGAAAAAUUCAAGUUCAAUUUUUUUUGCUGUCUUCUAAAAUUAAUUUAUUGAUGUUUCUUUUUUAAUAUAUUGUACAUUAUCUAGAUAAUUCAAAACAUCAUUAAAUUUAUGUUAUAUCAUGUAUUUUUCCUGAAAUAUUACUUGGUUCUCAACUUUCAAAGGUUUAGAUUUUAAUAAAUUUCAUACUUGUUUUCUUGAUGUUUGAUCUUGCAUUUAUCGGUAUAUAUAUUUUGUAAACAUGUCAAUCAAAAGUUCCGAUAUUAAUUAAGGUAUAAAAUCAUAUUAAAUAUAAUACUAAUUGAGCAUUUAUUUCUUUUUAUAAUAUGCUAUAUAUCAAAAGUCUUUUUUACCCUUGAGUAAUAAGUGAUUCCAUCUUAUCUCUUACAAGGUAAAAGCCAUAUUGUCCGUUGGAUCUUCUAAAAUGGAUGGUCUAGAAUAACUUGGGAGUAUCAUAAAACAAUCCCCAUUUGUUACAUACGUGGACAACAGUACAUGCACGUAGAGACAGUAGCUGUAGAUCCUAGGCAACUGCCCGACUUGCAUUGGAGCUGCCUUUGCCGCUAGGUGCAGCUGAGAUCGAAGAAAGAAUAUAUAUACACACACACAUAUAUAUAUAAAUAUAUAUUUAUAUAUUUAUGUGUGACUUCCACAUGGAACCGAGAACGGUGAAAAAAUAGGCCAUAUUUGGCAUGCGGCUCUAACUGCUAAAUUCUAGCAUAUAGUCUGUACUAUAAAACAUGGAUUAGCUAUAAUACCAAUAAUCAACCCAUAGCCCUACCAAAAUAAACUGAGUUAUAGCCACUUAAAAGAAAAUGUCGAUAGAGAAUUGGAGUCCUGCCAAACUGGGCCACAAUACAUGUUAAGCCCCCUUUGAUUCAAAGGAUUUUCAUAGGAAUUUUAGAGGAUUUCAUUCCUAUAGGAAUUUUUCCUAUAAAGCCCUUUGAAUCAAAGAAAUGAAUCCUAUGAAAUUCCUAUGGAAUACAUCUUCCUAUGUAAGUUUUGAGGAAAUUUAACAAGAGGUUGAACCUCAUGGAAAAAAUCCUUUGAGUCUAUAUCUCUCCUCAAAUUCAUGUGUUUUUCCUGUGGUCCAAUCAAACGGUCAUUCCUACGUUUUUCCCGUGUUUUGCAAUCCUCUGUUUUACAGUUACAUUCAUGUUAAAAUUCUAUGUUUUUCCUAUUCCUCUGUUUUUUCAUUCCUGUGAUUCAAAGGGGCAUUUGUAGCAAUCUACCACAUUUACAUGGACCACUAAAAACAUGAACUCGAUCAAAGGUUUCAUGCAACAAUAGAAAAGAAUCCUAGGACAACGUAUAUGUAUGUACUGAAUAGAAAAAGAACAAAUAACUUUCAACAGUGCACAGUGCCGGCUCUACCAUUUGCCCUAGCAUAACAAAUAACAAAAGAACAAAUAAGGCUUUUAGGCUAAAUAUUUUACUUGUAGUAUAUAUUGUACAAUUAUUUAUCCUCUGUAUUGACACAAACAAACAUCAUUAACAUGAUAAACCAAGUAUUAACUCUUAAGAUUUAACUUGAAAUUUAGUCUUAGUUCUAAAUUUUAAUAAAUAAUGCUGAUACUAUAAUGAACUAAAUUAGAGAAAUAAAUAAAAAAUAAAGCGAAUCAACAAAAAUAAUUUAUAAUUAAUUUUUUUUAUUUGUGUUCUUAGAAAUUUAGAAGAUAAUGCUUGAAAAAAUAAACUACAAUAAUAACACCUUAAAACCAACUAUACUAUUAGUUUCAAAAUUAAAAUUUUGGUUACAACAAAAAAAUCAACAAGCAAAUGAUAUAGAUACUAAUCUUAACUAAUAUAUAAUCACCAUCUAAAUAGUUUCAUAAGUAUAUAAGUAUAAUUUUUUGGGCCCCCUUCGGGCUGAGGCCCUAGGCUGUCACCCCUCUCGCCCAGGCCCUCAGCCGUCCCUGCAUAACAUGCAGGAUUAUUUCAAUGUACCUUUCUUAACAUUGUACAUUUUUAACUUUGGUGUGAAGAUCCAUGUUGGUACUGCAUGCAUGGCUAGAUGCAGUUCAAAGAUCUAGAAUUUUUCUUGCAAAUUAAUGGUGACUUUUCCUUAUAUCUGUGUGUGGGAGAGGGAUCAGGAGACCUUUCUUAACAUUGGGGGGGGGGGGGGGGGGGUAAGCAUGCUUGCAUGUAGUUGAAUUUUUUUUUCAAGGAACAUAUAUCUCAACAAAUUUGGAUAAUCAGAUCAUGAAAAGAAAACUCACAUCAAUAUUUAAGAGAAAAAAAAAGAAUAUACACAACCUAGAAAGUAAAACUCGUCCAUUUUAUGAAAAAAAUUAAGGAGAGAGAUAUCAAUGUGUAUAAAUAUAUGAUCAUCUUUUGCCAUAAGAUCUGUAAUCUACAUGUUCUUCUAGGAUUAAUAGUUAUGAUAAGGUGGUCAGUAUCCACUCAAACAAGAGCACACACUAAUAGUAGAUCUGUUCACCUAAAUAGCUCUUGGUCAUUGUUCAGAAUAAUAUAUAUGCAGACAUAUAUAAGUACAUAACGACAAGGCGUUUUUCUUUGGGAGCAACUAGUAUUCGUGCAGAUGCCACAUAUUGACCCAUAGAGGAGUAUAGCUCUGAAGUUAGCAGAGAGAGGGAAGAGGGAGAAUAUAAAUUUGGUCCCUCUCUGUCCCUUGAUCUCUGCUGCCUGGAUCACUCCAUCCAAUGCACACAUAACAUGCCAAAGCAUGCAUACAUGAAACAAACAGAAAGGCCGUGAUGGGAGCUGGGAAGCACACAUGCUUGCUAGCUAGCUUACUACUUACUACACACGUACAUCUGUACUAACUAGCUAAGGCCAAAAUGAGGCAGCAGCUAACAAAUUAAGCAAGUACAGAUUAACCAACCUAGCAGCUGAAUCACAGAUUGAAUUGCAUGAAUAUGCAUGAUCCUACCCCCUUCUUCAUCUCAUGAUCUCCCCCCAUAUGGCCCCCCAUCCCCUCCUGCCUUCGUACAUACACACUUACUGAUCAAGCUAGAUUCCCCUAGCUAGGCCCCAUGAUAUAUUAUAUGUAUAUGCAACUUAAUUCUAUCCUGUUGUGAUCAUGCUUGGAAUUGCAUGCAUACCAUAUAUAUGUUUCAGUAAGCCAUAUAUAUAUGAAUGCAUGAGAGAAAUUAAUUAAUAUCCUCAUCAAUUAUAUAUAAUUAGGUUGUUUGAUUUGUGAUCAAACCUGAAGGUUGUUGUAUCUGCUGAAGGUCUUGCAGCAAACAGGGCAGACGAAGUGUGUCGGCCCGAUGAGGAUUUGGGUUGGGGUAGGGAUCCAAUACUUGCCCUUGGUGAGCUUCCCAAUGGAGAAGUAGUCCAGGCAGAGGUCAUCACUAGCUUCUUCUUCUUCCUCUCCAUCCUCCACUGCUCCUACCUUGUGAUCGCCAUCACCAUCAAGCUCUUGUGAUGUCGUCGUGGCUGCGCCGAGAGCAUGGAGAUGGUUCUUUGAAAGAUCAAGCGAGCCGGUAGAGGUCGGAGAAGGCAGGCCAAUUUGGAGUGAGAUGUCCACAUCCUCCAUGACCUCCUCUUCCUUCUCUUGCUUAUAACCAUGGCCACACCCAUGGAUCUUGUUGUGAUCAUGGGUUGAAGGGAGGAGACUAAGAAGAGGGAUGGUUUCCUCUUUCUUAGGAAGGGAAUUAUAGGGAGAGGCUGAUUGAUCAGCUGGGAUUAGGCUCCUUUGGAAGGGGAAGAUCAAAUGAUCUUUGCUUGGAUUAGCCAUGGCAGCUCUUGGAGAGAUUACUUGCUGGAGUAAGGAGCACUGCAGCAAGGAGAUACCUAGCUAUUAUAGAGAGAAGAGAGAGAGAGAUAGAUAGAUAGAGAGAGAGAGAGAGAGAUUUUUUCUUCAUGCAUGUGACCCGUGACAACAAGUAUAUGCCUCAGUGGUUGAUGUGGUUGUGGCUUUCUCAGUGCACAUAGACUUGCACCAGGUUCAUGUAUAACCCUGGAGGCCAUGUAGCAAUCUUACUAGCUGUGUCCGGGGCUCUCAUGCAAUUUUAUGCAUGUGGCAUGGGUCUACUCCCAUCCCAGACUUUUCUCUUCCACGUAGGGACAAAAUUGUAUCAUUCAACUUGCUAAAAGAAUAUAUCAUUCAACAAAGAAAAAAUAAUAAUAAUGGGUUCAUUAUAUUUUUCGAAACACAAUACUAACACAUAUAUAUACGCUGAUAUAUUACAUAGACACAUCACAUGCAUAGUCAGCUUUAUAAAAAUCAAUGAUACAGAUGCUCCUAUACACGUGCACAGGAAACCCUAUAAAAAAAUAUAAGGUAGUUUCUUUGGGGGUACAUGUAUAUGGUUUCUCUAUAUACAUCCACGUCAGGUAUAGAGACCAGAUUGAUAUGCAUUAUUAAAAAAAACUAGAGUAUUUUUAUUCUUUUGGCAAAAAUGAAUAGUAUAUUCUGCAUGUGAUGCGUGCAGCAUAUGAUUAGUUAUUUAAUUAUAUAUAUUAUUUGUAAUCAUUUUAUACUAAAUUCUUUCUUAAUUUCAAGGACUAUCCAGGUUGUUGUCAUCAUUUUCUUUUUGAACGAACUCAUUGAUUUUGUUUGCUGAAAACAUUUACUCCUUCGAAUUACAAAUGAAAUAAUUUACAUUUUGUAAUUUGUGUAGUCAACAUUUAAACUUUGACCAUCCGCAUAUCUUUAAAUAUUUUGACUCAACUUUCAAGAUGACAUAUGGAUAGAUUUGUCCCAAAAAAUGGUUUCAAUUUAUUAUGGCUUUGCUAUUUUCUACAUGUUUAAUUUGCACUAGUAACUUAAUAAUCACAACAGUGUUUUGGUGACCGUGUCACUCCAACCUGAUUUAUUAUUGGAGCUAGAAUUUAAAAGGUUGAAAAAAACUACUGCAAAUUCCAAACGAGUCCUAAUCACAGUAAAAGUAUUGAUUACAAAGGAAAUAAAAGUAGCAGAAAAAAUGGCACAGCUCUAUGUUCAUAUAUUAAUUAAACUACUAGGUGAUUGUCAUCUAAUAAAAAUAUAGUUGAUUAUUGGUAUUAUAGGACAGUUCAUAAUGGGUUUAAGCCUAUUCACUACAGUAAAGGAGCAAAUAAUAUUUAUGCAUUUAUACUUCAUAUGUAUGAUGAUGAUGAUGAUGAUGAGGAUGUGUGUGUGGCCUGUGGGCCUACCUAGGAGGUGGGGCCGGAGAGGUGUGUAAUGUAGUUAGAUUGAUAGACAGAUCUACAUCAAUUAAUCCCUAAUUUGUUUUUGCAUACAUUAUGAUCGACCAAGGUGCAAAAGGAAGUAUAGAAAAAGGUAAAACAUGGACUGUAGCUCAUAAAGAACUGAAGACAAUAUAUAAUCAAUGCGUGAAAUGGCGAUGUCUAAUCGUCAGGUGGCAGAAGGAAUAACAAAUCGCACAUGACUUUGUUGCACAUGUGAAACUACUUAACACUAAUAAAUUAAUAUUAUUAAAAGGGGGAAGAAUAAUAUAUUAUAUGAACUUGACACUUGCGAAAUAAUAGCCUGAGAAAUAAUACAGUACACUUCAAAACUUGAUGCUGUCAAUAGAGAACUAUUAAGAUAUGAAAACUCAGAAAAUAUUAAGUAUCAGCCCUGAGCGCCAUAUAAUCAACCAAAACUACUCUAAACAACAUCAUUCGAACGAUAAAGUAAAUGGUUUGACACAGUUUAUGCUUAGACAACGGUUCGUUUGAAGUAUCUAGCUAGCUAGUAUAUAUAAUUUCCAGAUUUUUACAAAGUUGCGUACAAUUAAUUACUGGUAAUAAUUAAUUUCCUCUAAAUCAUAUAUAAGCACAAAAUGAAGUGCUGCCUUAUAAAUUAGUAUUAAUAUGCGUGCAAUUAAUUAAGUCAGUAUAUUUUGAUAUCUAUUUUUUUUAGGCAUAUAUUUUUAUAUCUAGAUCAGUGAUUAUUGAUACAUACAUUUUACAUACAUGUUUAGUUUCAUAACAUAAGUUAAUAUACAUUGCAUAACAAUCAUCUUUCAGAGUUAUAGCAUGUACGUGCUCUAUCUCAGGAAACUAGGACAUUGGUUAACAUCGUUCAUCAGCCAGUAGCCACUAUACAUGUGCAUGAGCAUGAACUUGACACAUGAGCAUGAACUUGACACACACUUUUUACAGAAAAUAAUAUUGACUCUGCUUUAUAUUAUAAGAUAUUUUAUUUUUUAAUUUAUAUGGAUUCUAAUAAAUCUAGAUGUAUAUAUAAAAUAUAUAAAUUGAUAUAUGGAUGAAUUUAGGAGGCCAAAACAUCUUACAGUAAUAUGAACAUGAGAGGGAUAUAUACAUGUUAAUGUGCGUGAGUCCAUGCAUUAAGCUAGUUAUAUUAAAAAGAAAUUAAAACUCUAUUUGAUCACUAAAUUACAUGAAAUUUUAGAAGUCAUACACACCAUCUUUUCGCUUAUGGUUAUGCAUAUAAGCCAAAACUGAAAUUAUCAACCUUUGGCUUUCGUUUAUGUGGAGUUGACUUUGGAGGUUUUUUCAUCGAAGUCUAGUUUUUAACCUUGUCUUUUAGAUCGCUAAUAAUAUGUAUAUAAUUUUUUUCACAAAUUAUUUGUUAUUUACAAAUAUGUCAUUUUUGACUUUUUUCAAUCACCCCCCCCCCACGAACCCCACACACAAACCGAUGUGUUUUACUAUGCAUAUGUGACUAGUACGUCCAAUUAAAAACGACGAUGCAUGGAAAGAUAAGGAUAUACAUGGAGAUAUAAGGAUAUAUAAAAGAAAAAUUAAAUUGAAUGAAUGACAGACCUGUGCGGCCUACCUCCUUCUGGAUUGUUUCUGCCGAUUGGCUGCCAUGUAACCAAAACAUUAUACUCCCUCCGUUCCAAUAUAAGCAAACACAGAAACAAACAAAGAAGUUAUAACCACUUUCUCGUUUAGAUUAUGUAGGUACAUAUAUACCUGCAUUAAAGUGGAAAGACAUUUUGAAGACGAAGAAUUUAAAAUAAAUUAAAUUUAGAGAAAAGAUUUAUGCUAUUGCAUGUUUUCAUGCAUGCCUUAUAUUAUGGAAUAGAGAAAAAAAUGUUUUCAUGCACAAACCCUUACCUCCAAAUUUCAUCUUUACAUCGACGAGGGGUGAUCUAACUAUGCAUUUAUCUAUUCCAUCCACUACUACAAGCUGGCUAGAGAGAUCACUGUCCAACUGACCAAGCAUAUGCAGCAUGCUUGAUCUUUUCCAAUCAUCACCUGUCACAAGAACUGUUGACGAUACCUCCACAAUGUAAGGGCACCACGACAAUGAAAAGUGAUUCACAUACUUUGCAAAAUUUUCUUGUACAAAUAAUAUUGAUACAGAUAAUUGAACUGUCAGUGACAAAUGGGUGUGGUGAGCACCUUCGCCUUUUCAGUUAUGCUAAUACUUAUAAGUCAAAAUUUAAAUUUUCAACCUUAACUUUAGAGUUAAUUUUGAGGUUUUUUUCAUCAUUCUAUUUUUAAGCCUUUGUUUUAGAUCGCGAACAACAUAUAUAUAAAAAUUUUAUUCAUAAACUAAUUUUUAAUCGCAAAAUAUGUUGUUUCGAAUUUUUCUUAAAAAAACUAAACAAUGACUCUCUAAGAAUAUCCCUUCCAAUUGCUUUGGAAUCUCUCCAUAUGAUUUAUCACCCCCCCCCCCUAAAAUUAAAUUUGAUGCUUCAAGUACGAGAGCGAAAUAUUUCAGCUCGGUUUUUUACUAUGUUUCACCCUUUUCGUUCAAACGUUGUUUUAUUUCAUAACGUAUAAUAAUCUGAUCUUUUACUGAUGGACCAUCCGAUUUUUUGCUCAGAUUGGGUGCUUGAUCCCUUGUUUUGUCCAUUAAAUUUUUAUAGUUAUAUCGUAAUAAUUUACAAAUUAUGGUAAUUAAAAAUGUCAUCUAAAAAUACAUUUCAAAAUAAUCAUGAACAUAUAUAUCACUGUCGUUGCAUCUAAUCAGCUAGUACGUCUAAUUAAGCUAGCUGGAGUUUUCACGCUAUACCUAUACAUAUGUACCUUGCAAACAUCAGCAAGGGGCCGGGAAUGAUGCUUGCGAAUGUUCAAUCAUUAAUUGAUUAGCAUGACCUAAAUUCCUGGGAUAGAUCUCAUUUCAACUUGCACAAUGAUCAGAUGGAAGAGCUGAAAGAGUCCUGUGCAUGGGUGAUUAUAUAUUGUACGUUUGUGACCACACCACCAAGAUAACCCAGAUGAGCACGCAUCACCAAGAGCCCAAGACCCCACUGUAAGCGACGUGUCGGUCCACCAGUUGAUGAUGGUUCAUCUUUUGGGUUUUGAAAAGAAAAAAAAUGCAAAUGUUAUAUUUACAAAUAGAAAAUAAUUUAUGAAUAAAAUUUUUAUAUAUGUGUUCAUAUCGAUCUAAGAGCCAAAGCUGAAAAUAAAUUACAAUAAAAAACCUGAAAUCAACUCCAAAUUUAAGAUUGAAAAUUUAAAUUUUGGCAAAUAAGCAUAAGCAAAAGCUAAAAUGACGAGGGUGCUUAUAUAUGUAUAUAUGUAGGUCAUCAAGCAAUUAAAAUGUGUACGCGUGUAAGCAGCCGUGUAGCAAUGGAUUUUUUGAUGACGAAAAUAGAUAAAAAAAUGUAUGAAAAAGAAAUAUGCAUGUACACUGGACAAAAUAAUUGCCUGAAUUUGACAUUUGACCCUUCUGGAAAACAACUUUAUAUAUAGAUCAUCUUGAAAACUUAUUGCAUAUAUGAAUCCUAGCGCCGAUGCCUAAAGUGUUAAGGAUCAUUGGUUGGCACUGACCGUUAGUACCGGGGUCAUUGGCGAUGGACCUUGACAACCUUAUAAGCCUAAAUAUUAGAAUAAAUUAGUUAUCAUGGUACUUAAUUUUACUAUGUAUAUACCCAUAUCACCAUAGGCAUAUUAAAUUCGUAAGCUAUAUAUAUAUAUGUCAUAGGCAUAGUAAACUCUUGUACUUAUGAAAUGCUUAGCAUUUAUUUAAACUUGAAAAGAAAUUAUUCUUACAUUUGGCCUUACCAAAGGUCAAUGCCAGAGUAAUUGGCGAUGAUGUCUAAUGUGCCAUCGUCAAUAUUGCUAUCACCAAUCUCUGCCACACCAGUCAACAUGUAAAUUACGGCUAGGCUGACACAGAUGCUAAGAGUCCUACAUGUUAGACCUUGAUGCCAAGUGUCCAUAUCGAUAAUAAAUUAGGGGGUUUAUUUAUUAAAAAAAAUUUCUUAAAGGACCAACAUGUCAAAAUUCCUAAAGUAAUUACCUUGAGAAUUAAUAUAUAUAUGCAUGUUUUUGUGUUAUGGAUUUAUUUAAAUAGUUCCAUCCAAAAGAAGUGCUAUACCUUUGAUAUAUACGGAUCAUUAUAUUCUGCAGUAACAACAUAGCGUGGCACAUUUCUAGCCAUUGUAAUUUUAACAGAUGAUGAUGAGGCGACAUCUCCAGCUCAAGCAUAGACCAGUACGAAAAUCAUACAUGUAUAAUCCAAGGAAUCCAUGCACACACACAGCAGACCUGAAAAUAACAGGGAGGAUGCCACACAAUGCCCAGCAUGCAUAUACUCCAUAUGCAUACAUAUGAUCAUCGAUCACACUGCCAUGCCAUGCAUGCAUAUGCAAGCAAAUCGAUCGAUCUGUAGCUGACCAAAUGACACAAAAUGUUCAUAUAUGACUACCUGUUUGCAUGUGAUUGCAUAAGAUGUAUAGCAGGGUUCAUUCCAUCUGCAACGACUAUUUAUCCGGUCGCAUACAGACAACAGAAGUUACUGAAGCUAGCCACAGCGAGCUCUGAUGAUCGUCAUCAUAUGUGUAUUGGCGUCUUUGUUUCGCUACAGCUUUCUGCUAUAGCAACUGCACGCAGGGUGUGCAAAAUCUAACUCCAUUAUUAUUCCCAAACCCUGUAGGCAUGUGACUACAAGGGGUCAACAAGUCCCUGAUACAUGUUCUUGCUUGCUGGGGCAUGCAUGUACGCCAGUGUGCUAGCUAGCUACAGCCCAUUCUUGUUAUCUACCUAGGUUUUUGCCCAACUAGUUUCCAAAAUAUGAUCGAGAUCGAUGCGCAUUCGGCACUAGGCGAUGAUCGGUCGAUGGUGUGGUCCUCUACAAUCAAACUGUUUGGAUGAAAAUCAUAUUAAGGGAGAUAAUGACAAAGAAAGAAGAUUCUUCGCACCCCAUCUUUUGGAUUCUGCUUAUGCUUAUAUGCCAAAAUUUUAAUUUUUAACCUUAAAUUUGAAGUUUUUUCACUAAGAUUUAUUUUUCAACAUUUUCUUUUAGAUCACUAAGAAUACAUAGAUAAGAGUUUUAUUUAUAAAUUAUUUUUUAUUUCUAAAUAUAUCAUUUUGCUUUUCCAUGAAAAAGCCAAACAAUCACCCCCUCGAACUAACAAACAUUAUAUAACGCAAUGACCCAUUAAAACCAAGAAUUUGGAAUAAUAAUAAUAAUAAUAAUAAUAAUAAUAAUAAUAAUAAUAAUAAUAAUAAUAAUAAUAAUAAUAAUAAUAAUAAUAAUAAUAAUAAUAAUAAUAAUAAUAAUAAUAAUAAUAAUAAUAAUAAUAAUAAUAAUAAUAAUAAUAAUAAUAAUAAUAAUAAUAAUAAUAAUAAUAAUAAUAAUAAUAAUAAUAAUAAUAAUAAUAAUAAUAAUAAUAAUAAUAAUAAUAAUAAUAAUAAUAAUAAUAAUAAUAAUAAUAAUAAUAAUAAUAAUAAUAAUAAUAAUAAUAAUAAUAAUAAUAAUAAUAAUAAUAAUAAUAAUAAUAAUAAUAAUAAUAAUAAUAAUAAUAAUAAUAAUAAUAAUAGUGUCAUCCAUCAUAUUAAUUUUCAUUUAUAUUGUAUCAGCGCACACUACUAACAUAUAUACUAAAACUCAUCUAGCCUAGGACGACCAAAUCAGUUUGCAAAGAGAGGGCUUACUAUGAGGGAUUAAGGAAAGUCACAUGCAUGCAUGAAGCAAAGCAGAAAAUUAAUUAAAUUGUCCAAUUAAAACCAUACCGUAAUAUAUUCACCCCGGCCAAUCACUCACCCUGAUCCCUAGGAGCGGUGCAACAACUUAUUCGAGAAAUCUACCGCUGGUUCAGAAGGCAACAGUGAUACGAUGUUAUUGGUAAUGAAACCAGCAAUUGCUUGCUUGGUCCAUCCCCGACUCAGCAGUGACGACGACGAUGCCAUUUGUCUGGAUAGUACGUUGGGCCUACCGGUUCCGAAAACUCCUUAAUUUCUGUAGCACUGGAUCUAGCUUUGCCUACAAAAAUCGAUUGGAAAAGAUCAGGUUAUGCAACAAAUAAUCAUAUGUAGGCAAAACUAUAUGUUCCCCUCCGUUUGAGAUUAUAAGUUGUUUUGACUUUGGUCAAAGUCAAACUGCUUCAAGUUUGACCAAGUUUAACACACAUGUUAUGAAAAUGUAUUCAAUUAUAGAUGUAAUAAAACUAGUUUGGAGUUUUAUAUGUUACUAUAUUUCUUUACAAAUUUUGUUAAACUUGGUGUAGUUUGACUUUGACCAAAGUCAAAACAACUUAUAACUUGAAACGGAGGGAGUAUAUAGAAAGGCCACAUAAUAACCACCGACAAUUCAAUUUUUAGGGAUAAAAUAUCUAUCGGCAAAUGAAAGGUGUUAUCGACAAUAUUUGAGAUACAUUUUGCUGAAGUUUGACAUAUGCAUGAAAAAAAUAUUUUCCUCCAUACUUGAACCUUUUGUUUUCUUUAAUUAAAUCUCAGUAAAACGUAGCCAUCCACACACCAUAUAUAGGAUUAUAUAUGUUGUUUAACCCUUUUUGGAUAGAAGUUUUAUCAUGGGCUAGACACAUCAUGUAUGUGUAUACGUAAUCAGUUAAUUGAACCCACAUUAAUGAAAAAUAUUAUAAUUUCACAUAAAUCCAUAAACAUUCGGAAUAAUGUUUUGACCCCACUGUAAUCAGUUGACAGGUUUGUUCUUAACGCACAUUUCAAAAACUCAUGGAUCUACCAAUGUCUAGGGCAUCUUUCGGGAAAUAGACCAGGAUCAUAUAUACUAGGUAGCAUAUAUUAGAUUUCUUACAAAAUUAUUUCUGCUGGCAACUAAUUAAUUAAUUCUAUCUGAUUAAGUAUCUUUUAAAUUAUUAUUAGUAUCACUACUUUAUUAGCAGUACAAUUUUAACUGUAGUCAUAUAUACCAUUGCUCUUUUUAUAACCCACUAACUUUGCGUACUGUUGUAGUCAUAUACAUACUAUACUCCUCUAUCCCCACUACUGGUCUUAGGCCCUCAGCUCCCUCUUUAGCUCUGCCAAUUGUUUGUAACCAGAGAUUUGCUCCGGUCCAACAAAAAGUAACUCGAGGUACCAAAUCGUUUUCCACCAUUGGAUCUAUCUUAAUAGGAUGUGCACUAUUAGAUCUAACGAUUAGAAAUGAUUUAGUACCACGAGGUCCCGGUACCUCGAGGUUCUUUUUGUUGAACCGAAGCAGAUCUCUUGUAACUAGGAAGAACCAUGGACACCACCUUGUCCCGCUCCAUCUUGACCAGAUCUUGGUUCUUUGGGAUGAACUACAAAACACGUUAGAGACUGUCUAAUUAUCAAUCUCUUGAAAAUAUAUUUCAAUUGUCUAGAUUGCUUUGAGAUUCAUGCAAACACUUUGUACCCCAGCCUUAUCUUCUUACUCUAGAUCUCAUCAGUCAUCGCUUCUCACGCGACAUCAUGAGGCAUUCUUCUAGAUCGAAUAUAUUCGUUGCCGCUGACACACUAUUCUGACUUGUGUGCUGCUAUCUCUAGAGUCGGCAAGAUCAACCUAGCUAGUUGGCCACCCUCCACCUCCUCUCCUUCCCACCGAGCUGCUCUCUCGGCGGUGAGGCACCCCUAAUCCAGUAUUCUUCCCCCAUCUCUAGCAAGUAGAGCCUCCUGAUAUGUCUCUGCCUUUCUUAACCACUCUUGGUGUCUUCGUCCCCGCAGCCAACCCCGUCCUUCGUCAUCCUCCAUCCCUACGGCCAUAGAUCUAUCACCGAUGCCACACUACCACCCAUCUAUUCUACCCGCCGCCAAUCUUUCACUGCUCGGGCCAUACCUCUGGAGCUGCCUUUACCACCCCUACCCUCUCCACCACCUAUCAGUCCCAAAACCCUAAACUCUAGGUCAUCUACAAAAAAGUUUGAUGUUGUCAAGUCGCCAUGACCACCACCUAAAAUCCGCUACCGCUGUCCCAAUCACCAUUGAGUUCCACCCGCUUCUUCCUCAUCUAUGACACAAAGCUUGAAGAUGACUCCCUAUAUAUUGAGCAGGUGACUAAGAUUUGGGGAAAUCUCAGUCAUGAGAAAACUAGCAGUUGCCUUUUGUUAAUUAGCUAGGCAUGCAUGGCCACUCUGGACAUAGGGAGGUGAACUAUGAGAGGGUGAGAAAAGUGAACACAUGAGAAACACAACGCUGGGUGUUGAAGAGCUCAAGAUCAGUAAGUAGUGAUUCCAACUUUGCUUCUAUUAAUCUCUCUUUUCCACUUUGCAGGGACAACACGAAAAGAGAGAUGAGAACUAAGAGAGACAAGUUUACUAAUUUUAUAGUAAGGCCUGGUGGAUUGGAAUAUAAUUUGAGGAAUUCACAUGAACGAUAAGGUUAUAAGGAAUAAUUAGGUGACCAUUUGGUUCAUGACUAGGUUUGCAAUGACUAACAUCACUAAAGUGUGGGGAAGAAAAUGAGUGUCACGAUUUAGGCAAACCGUGGCUAGAAAAUGACUCUAUGAUAGGUUGAUCAAUGGGAUGCUAAAAAGUUAUAGCAAACUAAAGUUGUGGCAAGAAACAAACACAUGCCUUAAAAAUUACAGCAUGUAUAAGAUGCCACUUGGCAAACUUAGGCAUGAACCACUCUAUCACCAAUGGUUCUGAACAAUCAUCUGUAAUGGGUGAGCAGGCAUUACGGACUAUUGGUCAUGAAUGUGUCAAAUCAUCUGUAAUGCCUAGGGGACCGAUUAGGUGCCGUUACAGAUGUGAGGGACACGCACCAAGAGGACCCACAUAUGUAACGGCUACUAAUUUGGUGUAAAUACUGUUUCGAAAAAUCCAAGCAAAAGGAAGAAAGAAAUCAUCGUCCAUAGUUGUUGUCACCCCACAACCUCUGCCACCAUCAUUGCUGCCACAAGUGGCAUCAUUGCUCCUUCGAUGACAACCAACCUCGGUGAGGUGAUAGUCAGUGCUCAAAAGGUGCACAUGGUUUUUUUCGGUGGAGAAGAGAGAGGCUUGACUCUUUGCACUACGCCAUAGUUCUCUAAUGCCCUUUCAAGCUUGGUAGCAAGAUCCUGCUUCGGUAUAGUCCACCGGAUCUACACAAGGACGCAUCAGCCCCGCUUCUUUCCUCCUUGUCGUCAUUGUCUUGUUCCUCUGUAGGACCAAUGCAGAUGCUGAAGGCGGGGAUGGACCGAUGGUGCCACUGGCGAGAGAUCAAGUGUGGUGGAGAAGCAAUGCUUGGAAGGGAACGAAUUGACAACGGUGCUGGGUGGAAGACCUAUGGUGGUGUUAGGGACAGAGGGAUGGGUAGCAGUGCUGGGCCAAGGAUGGGCUGGUUCCGUUCUCCUCCACCGCCUCCUUAGUUAUGCCUUUGUGUUCAUUCACCACCACCUCACACUGUGGCUCCCAAAGCAUGUAUCCCUUGAGCAGGUGAUGAAGUGACCCUCUUUUAGUUCGGCUCAGGGAGCAUGGGAGAAAUUUAGAGUUUUUGUUCAGUGUUUGGCGCUGUGAAAAAUGGAGAGAAUGCAAAGAGCCAUAAUAUAGAAUGGCGCUGUGAUUAUAUAGAUUUGGACUGCAAGGAGCCAUAAUAUCCUACUCCUGCGUGUGUUCUUAGGGUUUGGGUGGAAUACAAAUUCAAUGUUUUUGAGUCUUGAGAGUUUGAUCUGGAUCUGCUCUCUUUGUAUAGCCUAGUCCUCCUUUUAUAGUGUCAAGGAUUUGCCAGACUGGUUAAGGACGUGCUGCUAUAAGAGCCCAUUAACUUUGUCUUAUGUCUUGUGUGAUGGUGGCAUUUAAUGUUGACACCUGGAUGUGUGAUGGGACGGACGACUCUAGAGGCUGAUGGGAGUGUUACGAGUGCUUGUUAUCCUUAUGUGUGUUGCGUACCCGAGGAAAGGACAGAGUUGUUAGCUCUUUUGUCAUGCCAUUAGUCCGUUGACAUGUGGUUUCCACCGAUUGGCGAAGAUAUGCAACAAAUGGGCGUCUACCAGCUGGCUUGGCACUCUCAAUCGGUCAUCAUAAGAGAUCAUGGGAUUGAGUGGAACCGACAGAGGGAGCCCCCAUUUUACCGACCCGCCUAAGGAAUGACAGUCAUCCUCCUAUCACAUUUAACAUUGCGAUGUGGGAUAGAUAGUGCCCAACACUGCAAGUGUCUAGCACUAAAUGCAGUCAGUGAGGUGCUUCAGCACCUUACAGGCCUCCCAGGUAGGUCCCUUACUAGGCCUUAGUGGCACGCCAAGCUGGCAGGAGUCGGGCUACCUAAUGUUUGCUAUCCAAGAAAAGGUGUCAAGGUAGUCCGAUCCCACCCAAGGUCCAGAGGGGCCAUGAGCCACUAGUGAUGGAACCCUACUUCCUAUAUUGCCGACGGUUGUCCUACACAAAUGGGGAGAGGACAAUGGCACUUCUCGUUCCCACUAACAGUGAGGGCAAUGAGCGAUGAUGGGCAAUACGACAAUGGUGCUCUUUCUCCUCGAUCCGAACAGGGAGGAGACGAUAGCAUGGUCGAACGCAGAGGGGCGAUUGAUAGUAAAGGCUCUCAAUUGCUUUAUCUAUUUGUGAGGGCAGGCUACCAAUACCGCCUAUUAUAGAUACAUGAGUCUAUAGUGGCUCGCCCGGGCCCAUCACAAAUUAUCGGUAUUAGUGAGCCAAACAUACCCUAGAUAUUUUAGAACUGAAGUUUACUAAUUGCAGAGCUACAACUGUUCCUCAUUGAAAACAACAUUCUUGCAUAAGUCAAGAUGCUUUUGGAUGAUCCUUGCUAGCCAGACCACAUGUUGAGCGUGCAUGCAUGCAUGAUGAUCUGGCCACACAGUGAGUGUAGAGUACUAGACGGUGUACAUAAAUAUAUAUGCCAUAUUUAUUGUGUAAUUUUCUUCGCAGCUACUCUCUCCAUCAUAAAAUAAAGACAUUUCUAUCACUUUAUUUUUAUUCUAAAAUAUGUAGCUAUUUCUCUACCGGCCUACCCACUCAUCCUAGCUAACCGUAGUCAUUCACUGUUUAAUUUCUUUGCCUAUAAAUAUUCUCUUCUGGACCAAUCAAACAUAUUUAUCCAAUCAUUUACACCUACCUUCUUAAUCCACGUAUCCAACUCUACAGAUGCUUAUAUUGGAUGAUGACGGAGGCAGUACCAGCUAACCGGUUCCUCUGCCUGCGCUGCACGCUACAGCUUUUUUCCCUGGAUCGAUCUGAUUCUCUUGCUGUUGCCUGUCGAUCUGCAGGCAGGCAGUCGCAGGCGCAGGCCCUGCCUGCACAUAUAAUAUCGAUCUCGGUGAAAUAUUCCAUCUGUUUUGGGAGCUGGUGCUGCUAAUUUGCCCUAAUUGCAUGCAUAUUAAUUAAUUGCAACCGUUGUUCAUGCAAGCAUGCAUGGCAAUGGCUUCUGCACUCAAUGAGAGGACAGGAAUGUUUCUUCGGGAUGUGCCCACAUCAUGUUUGUUUUUUACCUUUUGUCGGGGCUCCAUUAAUUUUAAUUCGGAGCUUCUGCAUAUAUUGACAGUUUAUAUUCGUUCAAGACCACUUAUUGUUUGAGCCUAGCUGAGAGGACCAAUUAUUCAGAGGAACUCAAAUAUUGUUUGAGCAUAGCCUUGCUAUAAGCACAUUAUUAUCCUUACCCUAAUAGACUACUACUAUAUAUAUUAACUAAGAGCAAUAGUGCUAGUGAAGAGUAAAUUUCAUAAAACUGCAAAUAUUUUGUAGAUAUCGUUUUUCUAUGGCUCUAGCCAUGGGUAUUUCACGAAACUGGGACGAUUGCUAACUGAAAUAUUUGAUAGAAAUCUACAAGUUACACCUAUAUAACAACAACAUGCGUGAGUGUUGCAUCGGCGUAUGACAGCUGAUCCCAUCUAUCGGCGUAUGACAGAUGAUCCCAGAAUAUUAUGGUAAUUUGCAUGAAUAGGUAUUUAUUUUGGAAUAAAUUCUUUUUGAAAAAUCUACUGUCUAAUUAAUUGAUAUACCAGACUACCUCAAGAGAAAGGUCGGUUAGGUUUAUACUUUAUUUUUUUCAGAUAAUGGAUGAUAACAUCCGGUCUUUACGUUAAAAAAAAAGCUAGAACCAAUUAUUUAUUACAUGAGUUUUAGACCAAAGCCGUUUGUCAUAACACAAAUAUAAACUAAAUGAUGCCAACUAGCAAGGAGAUAAUAUGAAAAAUAGGAUAUGCUAUUGCUAACUCUCCACCUAAAAUUGUCAAAAAUUUGUAAUGUCAUUGACUCUAAUCUUCCGCAUGUAACAACAAUAAUUAAGUUUGUUGUCAUCAUCGUACCUUUGUAACUGACCCAAAACCUGAGCAAAUGGAUGCUCUAAAUAUUGCGUACAUGAAUUAAUAAUUGGAGCUUUGUCAAAAAUCAUAUUAUUUCUAGUACUAAGCCUAAGGCUCAAACUCUAAUUAUCAUCACGGAUUUUACCAUUUUAUUACUUAAAUUUUAAGUCUAACAUAGUCUCUGCAGAAACCCGAAUCCGCAAUAAAUAGUUCACUAUAUAUCCUGACUGAUGACGAUCAGUUGAUCCCAAGCCAGUAUAUAUUCCUUUAUCCUCUGAACAUAUAUAUGCGCAUGUCCUGUGCAUUCGAUCCCGUGAUGCAUGCACAGCCUUUCUGCAAACUACAGUACGUACAUGUAGCUAGGGCUCUCCGUGGAGACUCGGCUUCGAUAAGCCGCGAUAACCGAAUUUAAAUUUGAGGAUAAUUUAAAAAUUUUGAGGAAAUUUAAUGAAAAAAAAUAUGUUGUAUAUGUUGAUAUAUAAUGUAGUUUUGUCAAAGAAAUGAAUGAAAAAGUCUAUUUCCGGCAUAAUUAAAAAUCAUAUAUGAGAAUUUUGGGAAACAAAAUUAAAAAAUAGCCUAUUGCAUUUCAUAGGAAGAUGGUUAAGAAUAUUUUGUUGUUCAGUCAUUAUUAAUUUGCACUAGACACUAGGGUACAUAAUGUUGAAAUACAAAUAUACAACGAUAGAUAUAUGGAGAAUAUGCAUAGAGAAAAAUUAUAUGCGCAUAUUAGUAAUAAUGGGUAGUAGGUAUAGUUGUGACGCAACAAUCUGUUAUCCAUGUGAAUUAUUUGGUGAAGGGUGAUAUGACGGUAUAUGUUUGUGUGUUGCCAUAUCAAGAAUUUAGAAAAUGUCAUGUGAAAAUUUUCUUGUUUUCCUAUAACAUGACUAUUUUUCCUAUUUCACAAAUAUAAUCACAAAAUAUUUUUCCUAUUUUUCCUGUAUUUUUUUAGAUUUUUUAAAGUUUUUUCAUUUAAAAUCACACCCACGGUAACCACGGUUUUGGCCGCAAAAACCGCUCAGGAAACUACGGUUUCCGCCGUUCUCAUGCGUUGUUCUAGCAAGUAGUUACCGCGGAUACCGUGUGAAACCGCGCGGUAACCGCAUUUACCGUGCGGUUUUGAAUUCAAAUUUUAUGUUUUCAAAUUCGUUGUGGUUUUUACGGCGUUCGCUACCGUGCGGGAUCCGCGGCUGCGCGGCGCCGUGGUUUUGGCGGCUCGCACGGUAAGUGAAACCCUGGCCGUGUGUGUGUAUAUAUAUAUGUAUAUAUAUAUAUAUAUGUGUAUAUAUAUAUAUAUAUAUGUAUAUGCAGCUACUUUUGUAUAUCGUUCGCCUCUCCAUCUUUCGUUUCUACUUGUAACCUGUUGUUAGCCAAUAUUUAAAUUUUUAAUCUUAAAUUUGGAGUUAAAAUUUGGGUACGGUUCAGCAUUGUUUAUUUCUUUCAAUCUUAGACUGUUAAUAACACUUAUAUAAAAGUUUUAUUCAUAAAUUAUUUUUUAUUUAUAAAUAUACCAUUUGGCAUUUUUCUUGAAAAAAACGAAAAGAUGACCCCUGUAUGUCCUCUAUCUGACAGUAUAUAGUUAAACAUGGUUUGCUAGCUGUAUGCAUAUAUGUACAUACAUGUGGGACUAAUCUUUUGUUGGAUCGAUCUUCUAGUGUGUAGGUAUUGCAAACUACAUAUAUACGCUCAUCCAACAGCAACAUGACGAAAACUACUGUGUGUCUACCCUUGAGGAGCAGCCAUAUACGUACGUACGUAUUUCAGAUCUAAUUCAGACUUUCAGUGGUCACUGCAUGCUGCUGUAAGCUCUGAAGUUACCCAGAGUGUCUAGAGAUUCUACCGUAACUAACUAACUACUUGCAGAGACCGUUUUUACUCAUAUGAGCUCGACUUUUACUGAAAGCAAAUUUGUUCAAGGCUUACAGCUAAUCGCACCACAAAAUGCAAGAUAGCCACGAACUUCUUUUGGUUAAGAGAGACCGUUUUACGAGGUAGUUCUGGCUAGCCCGGCCGUAGGGUUCACAAGUGAGAGAUAUUGCAGAAAAACUGUAUUUUGAUACCGAUCAGAUACGUGAAUUUAUCUUAAUUAGCUGCUACUAUACAAUGUUUAUCAGUUGAAUUUAUCUUCGUCCCUGAAAGUUCGCAACUUAUUAAGUGACCAAUUUGCCUCCAAAUUGUCAUUCGUUUGAAGUAAUCAAUGCGCAGGCAUUCAAUUAAAACGUUUGUCUGGUGGUGAAAAAAACAUACAAAAGCGAAGGAGUACAUUGUAAUUAUACAUUAGGAAUUAAAGAAACUCGCACGGACCUAGCCAGUGACGCACUUUGUGUUUUUAUUUAAGUGAAUUUACGCCGCCCUAGGUACCUGCAUUUAAAUAAACUCGUACGUAUGACGCACAAUAUAGUUUUUAUUUAAGUGAAUUUACGCAUCUCUAGAUACCUGCAUUUAAAUAAACUGGCACGACCCCAGGUCUAUUAGGCCACCUCUAACAAUAGAGAUAACAUACUAUCUCUAAGCAUUCUAAAAGACAACUUCUCUAAUAGUCUAGCUCUUAGCAAAUAGCUCAUACCCUACAAUUCAUUCUCAUUUAAUAUUAAAAUAUGUGCAAGAGACUAUCUCUUGAUUAAGAGAUAGCUUUUAUCUCUUUUCUAUUAAAAAAUUGUAUAGUACACCUUAUAGAUAUCUAUUGGAGGAGGCCUUAGGAGGAUGAAUCUCCUAGUAUGCUCCCGGUGUCCCGGCCAGAAUGUAACGUCUCUUAUGGAGAUGAGUACGAGUAUUAACAAAGUAAGUGAAAAUAAUUAGGAGAAGAAUGUGAUUGAUGUAGAAGCUAGAGAAAGUGGAUGAAAAAUUCUACAACAAAUGGGUACGUUCUGGUCGAGAUGAGAGGACACAACUUUCUUUUCAAACAAAUGUGCUAAGCAAUAGAAAUAACAUUAUUUUAGGACGGAGGAGUAUAGAAUGGCUUAUAACUCCCGACAUUAUUGACAACCGAUGAAACCCUCCCUCCCAAACUAAUAAGUAGAGCAAGCAUGCACUGUCGCAACAAGCAGUUAGCUAGCUAGCUAAAUAGGUUCGUGCUCGUGCACAGGCACAUGUAUAUAGCUAGCAUCAAUACAUCGAUACAUCCAUGAUCCAUAUUUGCCAACGGGGUCCAUAUAUAUAUCACUAAAUGCUGGUUAUUGAUCAACCAUAUAUUAUUGUUCAGGCCAGUUCAAAAAAAAAACCAAAUAAUUGCCGGUCGAUCGAUGCAUGGAUCGGUUGAUCCUAGACAAUGCCGAAAAACUACAUAUUCUGGCCCUGUACGUCGGCUGCAUCCCAAAACACUGUGGACAUGCAUGACAGUGUUGUAUUCUAUGAACAGCUAGCUUUGGUAGUAGUGAUCUGCUACCAAACAAAUUAAGUGAAACAGUAGUAAGUGCACAUGCAUCUGAUCGAUGGACCAGCUAACCGAGCAUGAUGAUCAUCGAUGCAGUCUAUGUAAAUUAAUUAAGGGCAGUCCUAAUGGUGUAUUAAUGAUGAUUUCUAUCCUCAUUAAAUAGCUUGCCACAUAAGCAAAAUGAUAAUAUGACAUAUUAAUGGUAAUUUUUAUCCUCAUUAAAUAGCUUGCCACAUAAGCAAAAUGAUGAUAUGGCAACGUAAUUAAUGAAGAAAGAGAGGAAAAACCAUAGAAAUGGUUUCCUCAUCAAGAAACCAAGUCUUUUAUUUACCCAAUGCACCAAGAAACCAUGAAUUCACCAUUGAGAAGAAACCACUAGUUUCUAGGGGGCAUGUCUCGUGCUAACAAUUGGUGAAAGAAUAUAGAGUUAAGAGAGACGAAGAGAAAACAAUUAUUAUUCGAAGACACCUCCAUUGUGAAAUAUGGUUUCUAUAGAUGAUUUCUUAUACUAUGGCAAACGUGUCGGUUUCUUUCACUGUGACUGCCCUAAUAUGGUUGUUUAUCGUACGUAAAAUGUAUGUACAUAUCUUCAUAAAAUUUUAAUUUAAUUGACAAGGUCAAAUAAAAAUGGAUCUUGCAUGACACAGUUAAUCUCAGGUUGCAUGCACAGAUCGAAUAAUUGUCGUCAUCGAUGCUGAGUUUUGAUCGGAGAUGGUAGAUAUAUUGCAUGCAUUCAUGAAUCAUGGCAUGAUCGACAGUUGAUGGAUCAGUCGAUGCCCAUGCACGGACAGAUCACUCCAAGGCACAGCGAAUAAUAUUAUUUCCAUCUGUUUCUCAUAUCAACUUAGCUAGCAUGCAGCAUGCAACGUAUGUACUCGUAGUUAAAUUUUCUUAUUUAUCUUUUUGUUGAGUUAUAUAUAUGGAAGACACAUGUAAGAUCAUAGUGAUCUCAUGAUCAAUAUUUUAUGAUGAACAAUUAUCAAUUAACUUGUAAAUUAAUUUAUUAAUAGAAAUUGGUUUGAAAAAAAUUAAUGCGUUGGUGUGAGUGUGUGUGACUAAUGUGUGUUUGGUUGUGAUAUAUAUAUAUAUAUAUGUCCAGAAACAGUUGGUUUAUCUCUGUGUAUGCAGGUGACUUGAGAUCAACCUUGAUCAAUAGUGAGCACUGAGACUAGGUUCAGCCGUUCAGGGAGGAAUCAAGGUCUACAACACAUACUAUAUUCUUUUCGAGUUGUAAGAAAAGAUUUUCGCAAGCAUAUGGACAUACCGCCUUUAACAAAAUGGCCAAUUUUCAUAGCCACAAGUAAUAAGUACUGUUAGAAGCAUUACUCAAAGGAAGCACAGACCAGAAUUGCAUGGUGAUGUUUACCAUAUCUUUGAUCUCUGGUUAAUUUUGGGGGUUUGGAAUUGGGGAUUUCUCUUACUGUAAUAUCGUGAGGGUUUGGCCGGGGUAAAUUGUAGAAUAAGGGCAAAUAUGUUAUUGGUUCGACACCGAUAUUGAUCUACUGCAGAUUACAGAGAAGGAUAAUUCUUUGUGAGUAAUCUACCCCAUUGUCCAGACCAGAUCUAGAAACGUGGCUGCAUUUAUGCACAGUAAGAACUGAACCUGGGAUAGUCUCAGCCGAUCUCCCAAUCUCCUAUAAAGGUAUAUAGGCAUCUCCUUUUUUGUUGUUAGCAGAUCUUCCUGUCAUUCAAAAAUUUUGUUUGAUUUGGACAUAUAUUGUUGUAGAUCGAACAGCAGUUCAGCAGAUUUUCCUAUUUAAGACCUAAUCAUGCAGUGCUAUUUUGGUAACAAUUUGUGAUCUGCGGAAGUUGCCAUGAACUAUAUACAUUUGGCGUAAAAUUGCAGGCAUCUCAGCAUUGAUAGAUAGGUUCAGUUAAAAAUCAAUAGGUAGAUGAACCUGUCUUUACUGUAAAAAAAAUUACAAGCAAGAGAAUGUGAAUGGACUUACAGUGAGAUUUGAGGGCAUGUGGUGCAUGAACAUACCAGUACUGUUACCAUUAUUAACAUGCGAGAUAUAAAAGCAGAAGGAUCGAUCCCAUUUAACUUCACUCAAGUAUUGAAUAGGUAAUCAAGUAUUACUCCUAUAGUUCCAGCUUCAACUUGAUUUUAGACAUAUUUUAGAAAUGUCCUAAAUGUGAUUUUGAAACAUUUUAGCAAUGCCAAACUUAGGUAUUU